rnacentral:rRNA from 1 species
AUACGUAGGGGGCGAGCGUUGUCCGGAAUUACUGGGCGUAAAGAGCACGUAGGCGGCUAUAUAAGUCAGAUGUGAAAAACCUGGGCUUAACCGAGGGUAUGCAUCUGAAACUAUAUAGCUUGAGUCAAGGAGAGGAGAGCGGAAUUCCUGGUGUAGCGGUGAAAUGCGUAGAGAUCAGGAAGAAUACCAGUGGCGAAAGCGGCUCUCUGGACUUGAACUGACGCUGAGGUGCGAAAGCGUGGGGAGCAAACAGGAUGAGAUACCCUGGUAGUCCACGCCGUAAACGAUGGAUACUAGGCGUGGGUUAGUAUAAUCCGUGCCGGAGUUAACGCAAUAAGUAUCCCGCCUGGGGAGUACGGCCGCAAGGUUGAA